UAUCUCUGUAGAGUCUGCAUAUCAAUAAGCGGAGGAAAAGAAACUAACUAGGAUUCCCUCAGUUAACGGCGAGUGAAGCGGGAAGAGCUCAAAUUUGAAAUCUUCAAGGUUCUACCUUGACGAAUUGUAGUUUAAAGAAGUGUUUUCUGUUGGAGUUUUGGUAAAAGUUCUUUGGAAUAGGACAUCAUAGAGGGUGAGAAUCCCGUAUUUGACCAUUAUCUUCCAGCUUUGUGAUACACUUUCAAAGAGUCGGAUUGUUUGGGAAUGCAGUCCAAAAUGGGUGGUAAAUUUCAUCUAAAGCUAAAUAUUGGCGAGAGACCGAUAGCGAACAAGUACCGUGAGGGAAAGAUGAAAAGAACUUUGAAAAGAGAGUUAAACAGUACGUGAAAUUGUCAAAAGGGAAGCGUUUGACACCAGUGUUGUUUUCUCGAAAAUCAAUUAAAAAUGGCCGGAUUUUGUGUUGUAUUGACUUUAUCAGCUUUCUGCACUAUUUUCUUGUCUUUUUUAAUGCACUUUUCGUUUAACAAGUCAACAUCAAUUUCUUUUGUUGUAAAAGAGUCAUUGGAAGGUGGCUUCCACUUCGGUGAAAGUGUUUAUAGCCUUUGGCUUCUGCAAUCGGAGAGAUUGAGGUCUGCAGCGUAGAUCCUUCGGGGUUAGAUACAUUUGUGCUAAGUUAUAGCCUUUCAUAGACAACUUGUUGACUAUGAUCAGUCAUGUAGCUUACUCGCUUAUGCUAUUUUACCUACGCUUAGGAUGUUGAUGUGAUACUGCGAGCA
rnacentral:rRNA from 1 species